rnacentral:rRNA from 1 species
AACGCUGGCGGCAGGCCUAACACAUGCAAGUCGAACGGCAGCACAGAGGAGCUUGCUCCUUGGGUGGCGAGUGGCGGACGGGUGAGGAAUACGUCGGAAUCUGCCUAUUUGUGGGGGAUAACGUAGGGAAACUUACGCUAAUACCGCAUACGACCUACGGGUGAAAGUGGGGGACCUUCGGGCCUCACGCAGAUAGAUGAGCCGACGUCGGAUUAGCUAGUUGGCGGGGUAAAGGCCCACCAAGGCGACGAUCCGUAGCUGGUCUGAGAGGAUGAUCAGCCACACUGGAACUGAGACACGGUCCAGACUCCUACGGGAGGCAGCAGUGGGGAAUAUUGGACAAUGGGCGCAAGCCUGAUCCAGCCAUGCCGCGUGUGUGAAGAAGGCCUUCGGGUUGUAAAGCACUUUUGUCCGGAAAGAAAAGCUUAGGGUUAAUAACCCUGAGUCAUGACGGUACCGGAAGAAUAAGCACCGGCUAACUUCGUGCCAGCAGCCGCGGUAAUACGAAGGGUGCAAGCGUUACUCGGAAUUACUGGGCGUAAAGCGUGCGUAGGUGGUUUGUUAAGUCUGAUGUGAAAGCCCUGGGCUCAACCUGGGAAUGGCAUUGGAAACUGGCUUACUAGAGUGCGGUAGAGGGUAGUGGAAUUCCCGGUGUAGCAGUGAAAUGCGUAGAUAUCGGGAGGAACAUCUGUGGCGAAGGCGACUACCUGGACCAGCACUGACACUGAGGCACGAAAGCGUGGGGAGCAAACAGGAUUAGAUAUUCCUGGUAGUCCACGCCCUAAACGAUGCGAACUGGAUGUUGGGGGCAACUUGGCCCUCA